rnacentral:miRNA from 1 species
UGUAAACAUCUUGACUGGAAG